CGAUGGAUAGGGGUUCUGAGAGGAAGGUCCCCCACAUUGGAACUGAGACACGGUCCAAACUCCUACGGGAGGCAGCAGUGAGGAAUAUUGGUCAAUGGGCGCAGGCCUGAACCAGCCAAGUAGCGUGAAGGAUGACUGCCCUAUGGGUUGUAAACUUCUUUUAUAUGGGAAUAAAGUUUUCCACGUGUGGAAUUUUGUAUGUACCAUAUGAAUAAGGAUCGGCUAACUCCGUGCCAGCAGCCGCGGUAAUACGGAGGAUCCGAGCGUUAUCCGGAUUUAUUGGGUUUAAAGGGAGCGUAGGUGGACAGUUAAGUCAGUUGUGAAAGUUUGCGGCUCAACCGUAAAAUUGCAGUUGAUACUGGCUGUCUUGAGUACAGUAGAGGUGGGCGGAAUUCGUGGUGUAGCGGUGAAAUGCUUAGAUAUCACGAAGAACUCCGAUUGCGAAGGCAGCUCACUGGACUGCAACUGACACUGAUGCUCGAAAGUGUGGGUAUCAAACAGGAUUAGAUACCCUGGUAGUCCACACAGUAAACGAUGAAUACUCGCUGUUUGCGAUAUACAGUAAGCGGCC
rnacentral:rRNA from 1 species